AAGACCAAAUCAAAUAACUACUGGGUUAGAUUGAAUUAAUUUGGGUUCUCGACAUAGGCAGGUUGAACCAAUCCACUUGCAGCCAUGCAUACUGCGUAGGGUGGUUAUUGGGUCUAAUUGGGUUCGUAUUUUACCAUGUUUUAGGUUUAAUAUUUGUUUUGCACCAAAUGAAGUUUAAGUUCCGGUUGAAAGUAUGUAGGAGGUGUGGCUUGGCUAG
rnacentral:lncRNA from 1 species